UACGGAGGGUGCAAGCGUUAUCCGGAAUCACUGGGUUUAAAGGGUGCGUAGGAGGGCAGGUAAGUCAGUGGUGAAAUCUCCGAGCUUAACUUGGAAACUGCCGUUGAUACUAUCUGUCUUGAAUAUUGUGGAGGUGAGCGGAAUAUGUCAUGUAGCGGUGAAAUGCUUAGAUAUGACAUAGAACACCAAUUGCGAAGGCAGCUCGCUACACAUAUAUUGACUCUGAGGAGCGAAAGCGUGGGGAGCGAACAGG
rnacentral:rRNA from 1 species